CCUACGGUCUGCAGCAGUGGGGAAUAUUGGACAAUGGGCGAAAGCCUGAUCCAGCCAUGCCGCGUGUGUGAAGAAGGCCUUCGGGUUGUAAAGCACUUUCAGUGGGGAAGAAAGCCUUGGGGCUAAUACCCUCGAGGAAGGACAUCACCCACAGAAGAAGCACCGGCUAACUCCGUGCCAGCAGCCGCGGUAAUACGGAGGGUGCGAGCGUUAAUCGGAAUUACUGGGCGUAAAGCGCGCGUAGGCGGUCUGAUAAGCCGGUUGUGAAAGCCCCGGGCUCAACCUGGGAACGGCAUCCGGAACUGUCAGGCUAGAGUGCAGGAGAGGAAGGUAGAAUUCCCGGUGUAGCGGUGAAAUGCGUAGAGAUCGGGAGGAAUACCAGUGGCGAAGGCGGCCUUCUGGACUGACACUGACGCUGAGGUGCGAAAGCGUGGGUAGCAAACAGGAUUAGAUACCCGAGUAGUC
rnacentral:rRNA from 1 species